GCAUUGCUUUGGUUAUAUAUAGAUAUAUAUACAGAUAUAUAUAUAUAGUCACAACAACUUAAGUCUAAAAAUCGUAUCAGAUACAAGUUUUGUGUGAAAAAACUGUUGUGCUGUAGUUUUUGAACAUAUGUUUAACCCAAUAAAAAGUUGCACUAUUUUUAGGGACAAAUUAGGGGAAAAAAUGGUUUGCUGUCUUGCACUUAAGAUGUUUUUUAAAACUAUGUACAUAAAUAGUUUUAAUUUUAUCAUAUGCCUUUAUAUCUGGGAAACCAUUCAAGCAUAAAAGCUUCAGUAAACAAAUAUGUGAUUUAUUUAAGUUUUGUAAACAUUGAGUGUACAUAUGUUGGCAUGAGAUUUUAGAGAAAAAAUUCUCAGUAACCGAUUAUAUAUAUCAAAUUAUCUGUACAUAUAAUAUUACUUCUCUGUUCCGUGACCUAAUGAGCGGUAACAAUUUUUACUGAAUUUCACUGAAUCAAUUUUGACAUUUCGUUAUUGGCUAAUUCUUACUGACAGUUCUCACCGAACAAAGCUAUUGUGUCGUAGAAUGUAUUUUCCAAGUGUAUGGACGUUGGAAAGUAAACUUUUCCAAAAAAAAAAAACGUAAAAUUUGCAUGGAUAAAAAUGUGCAUUGCAAGAAAACGAACGACGAUAUAGUCACGGAUACGUAUUUACAUAUAAAUUGAACAACUUUUUAAUAUACUGCAUUAGGUACUUGGAGUGCUUUUUGCAAGAACAGUAAAAUCAUUUAGUCUUGCUUUUACAUUAUAGGAUAGGUCUUAGGAUCCUCAGUGGCGUUACAAUGGGCCUGGUUGGGGCCUAGGUGAGCUGAAGCUCGCCAGCCACUUCAACCAACAAACCAACCAAGUGUAGAGUAAUGCAAUACGCGAAAAAAGGGAAAUCAAUUAGUUUUAUUUUAUAUUAUAUUUGCU